rnacentral:lncRNA from 1 species
UUCUUGCCACCGUCCUUCUCGGACGCUUCUCGCUCCUCCCGGAUGUGAGCGUUUCCUUACUCGGCCCACAACGCUCUGUCGAGCACCUCCGCGAAGGUAGUGAGCUUCAAUAUAUGCACCGCCCGGUAGAUAUCAGCCCGGAGCCCUCGCUCGAACCAAUCGGCUCGAUCCCUGUCAUCCCGCACUACGUCGGGGACGCAGUCAAUGAUGUGAGAGAACUCCCGCUCAUAUUCCGCUACCGUGCGG